rnacentral:tRNA from 1 species
GGUCCGUUGGUCAAGGGGUUAAGACACCGCCUUUUCACGGCGGUAACACGGGUUC